GGGUUGUAUGAAAGGAGAGAAGGUUAGCACUCCCCUUGACAAGGAUGGAAGAGGCACUUGGGCCUGACAACACGCAUAUGGUUAAGGCAUUGCCACCUACUUCAUGGCAUCUAAUCAUCGCUUGUA
ensembl:snRNA